GACGAACGCUGGCGGCGUGCUUAACACAUGCAAGUCGAGCGGAAAGGCCCUUCGGGGUACUCGAGCGGCGAACGGGUGAGUAACACGUGAGUAACCUGCCCCAGACUUUGGGAUAACCCUCGGAAACGGGGGCUAAUACCGGAUACGACACAGCUUCGCAUGGGGUCUGUGUGGAAAGUUUUUCGGUUUGGGAUGGGCUCGCGGCCCAUCAGCUUGUUGGUGGGGUGAUGGCCUACCAAGGCGACGACGGGUAGCCGGCCUGAGAGGGCGACCGGCCACACUGGGACUGAGACACGGCCCAGACUCCUACGGGAGGCAGCAGUGGGGAAUAUUGCACAAUGGGCGGAAGCCUGAUGCAGCGACGCCGCGUGAGGGAUGACGGCCUUCGGGUUGUAAACCUCUUUCAGCAGGGACGAAGCGUAAGUGGCGGUACCUGCAGAAGAAGCGCCGGCCAACUACGUG
rnacentral:rRNA from 1 species